ensembl:lncRNA
GAGUAAACACAGUGAAGAGUAAACACAGUGAAGAGUAAACCCUGAGUAAACACAGUGAAGAGUAAACACAGUGAAGAGUAAACCACAAGUAAACACAGUGAAGAGUAAACACAGUGAAGAGUACACCCUGAAGACACCCUGAGUAAACACAGUGAAGAGUAAACACAGUGAAGAGUAAACACAGUGAAGAGUAAACCCUGAGUAAACACAGUGAAGAGUAAACACAGUGAAGAGUAAACACAGUGAAGAGUAAACACAGUGAAGAGUAAACCCUGAGUAAACACAGUGAAGAGUAAACACAGUGAAGAGUAAACACAGUGAAGAGUAAACACAGUGAAUGGAAACACGAUGAAGGUGUUGGGUUUCGCUGCAGGAAUAAAAAGCAAGUGCGACAGUCAGGGUCUCCAGAAGAACCGUGUCUGAGGAUGCUCAGUAACAUGUGCAGCUCAUUUCCUUAUUAAGCUGCACACACUGUACCUGAGGAUACAGAUGUUGCUUUCAAAAAGCAAAG